CUUCAGGAGAGGGUACCUUCAGCUGGCAAAGACAGAAUGCUAGCCAGUCAGAAAGGUGACUUUUUUUGGACAAAUGAGGAAACUUAAUGAAUUCCCUACUCCACAGACGGCUGUGGUAUACGUUAGAGCACCUGCUGCAACUCACUUCAUAUCACAUUGCGGUUAUGAAAAAUAGUUUGCUAUUUUGGAACCCCCUGGCAGCCAGAGUGAAUCACUGAGGGCCCAAAGCUCAUUUAUCUUUUGUCAGAACUGAAGCCAAAUGAACGCCAUCUUGCCCAGCAGCUGAAGAAAGGGGGAAAAAACAUUCUGCAAGUAAAAAUAACCAGAGGAGCAUGCAAGAGCUGCGAAGACGAGUGACUUAUGGCAGGUAAUAAAAAGAUUUUCACAACUCACUCAAGCUUUUUAGACCACAGUAUUUCCCUGCCAGUAUUGAGAAAAGCAACUUUCAGGGCAGGGAGAGGGCAUGGGGAGGUAAUCAGGUAGAAAAAGGAGAGGGAGUUGAAAAAGAGAGGGGGAAGCAUCGGAGUCAUGGUCACAAACACGUAACAGCUCAUUGGAAAUGCAGUGUUUCAGACUAAAACUCCUCAUCCGUUCUGAUACCAAGCUAAAGACAACAGUGAGAUAUUCUGAUGGCUGCACGUCCUGGCUGUCCCUCCCCGUGGACAACGACCCAGCGCAGUUACAGCGUGGCUGGGGCCUUGCUCUGGCAGGGAAGCAGCUGAGGAGCCCAGCACAGCACAGAGCCUAUCAGUCCUCUCUGCAUGGACAUGCCAGGAAGAAGUGAUGGAGUGCUUUAUGAGCAGUGAACACCAAGAAUGAUCAGAAGCAUUGGAAAAUCCUCUCCACAUACUGAGUUGAAAGAGUAGAGAUUUUUAAUUUGCAGACAACCGAAAUGCAAAGAGAUGUGACUAUUUUGACAAGAGUAAACGGAAGUAUGAUAUGAAGACUUAUUGUUAGAAAAAGACUUAUUCAAAAUGGUUAAAUGAGAAUAUUUUUCAGUUUACAAUUAGCCUGUACAGUUUAUUUCUAGAGGGUGACAAACAGCCAGGAAUUUAGCAAAAUGCAAGCAGGCAGAGAUACAAUACUGGCACACACACACACACACAAAAUCUGAACUAAGAUAUUCUCAGACCUGGCCUAAACCAGCAUGCUUCAGGGACAGCCUCUGGCAAUGGGCAAGUAGGUAGCAGCUUCACUAAUGGAGAGCUACACACAUUCCUAAAGCAGCCUGCGUGUUACUGCUACAGACAGAUUUUGUACUCUUCCAGUGUCAGCGGUUUCAUGGACUACAAGCUCUGUUUCUGCCUUCACCAUGGGUUUCUCUCAUCACUUGCCUGCCUCUCAAGUUUCCUGUUAGCAAAUCAAAAAUAAUACUUUUAAGAAGUAAGCUGUAAGAAUAGUGACUGCCACUUUGCCAUACAAAAGGCUUUAGGAAAGUUUGUUACUAAAGCAUAAAAGAGCCAGUGUGCCACGCAGGAAGUUAAGAAGCCUUAAUGCUAACAAGAAGACUGCAGGUAUUGGGAGGCAUCUCAAGAGUCUGAGGCUUCCUUCAGAUUCAGUUCCCUAUGCCAAGAAUAUAUCAAUCAAGAAAUGUUUAUAUGAAUUGAGUGCAGAGAGUAAUUACUGUUAUAAAUGUUUAUUGUGUACUGAUUGUACAUGUUUUUGUCUGAAUAUCAGGAAUGUAACACUUCACCUGUGCCCCUCCUUUCCCAAUCACUUUUUAAUUUUUAACUGCAAUUGCAACUUCAGAUCUAAGUUGAGAUGACCAGUGGGCUCAGUUUGUAGGGCUCUAGGAAUCUUCCAGUUCACAGGUUGAGGGAGCAUGGAACAGGAUUCAGGCAAAAAUUGCCUCAUUUUCAAUAAAAAUUAAAUUACUAAUUUGGAUAAGGCUUUU
rnacentral:lncRNA from 1 species